UACGUAGGUGGCAAGCGUUGUCCGGAAUUAUUGGGCGUAAAGCGCGCGCAGGCGGUCCUUUAAGUCUGAUGUGAAAGCCCACGGCUCAACCGUGGAGGGUCAUUGGAAACUGGGGGACUUGAGUGCAGGAGAGAAGAGUGGAAUUCCACGUGUAGCGGUGAAAUGCGUAGAGAUGUGGAGGAACACCGGCGGUGUAGACGGCUUUCGUGGGACCGUAGCUGACGCUGAGACACGAAAGCGUGGGUAGCAAACAGGAUUAGAAACCCUGGG
rnacentral:rRNA from 1 species